UACGGAGGGGGCGAGCGUUGUUCGGAAUUACUGGGCGUAAAGGGCGCGUAGGCGGUCCGUUAAGUCUGAUGUGAAAGCCCUGGGCUCAACUCAGGAAUGGCAUUGGAAACUGGCGGGCUAGAAUAUCGGAGAGGGAAGCGGAAUUCCUGGUGUAGCGGUGAAAUGCGUAGAUACCAGGAGGAACACCGGUGGCGAAAGCGGCUUCCUGGACGGAUUAUUGACGCUGAGGCACGAAAGCGUGGGGAGCAAACGGG
rnacentral:rRNA from 1 species